AUGACUUAUGGGAUAUCUUCAGAAAAAAUGCUAAAAGCAUGGAAAGAAAUGGAGGAAAAAGCCAUUCACUAUUCUGAGGUUGGUGUCAUUGGAUACCUUGAGGAUCAAAUUAUGUCUUUGCACACUGAAAUCAUGGAGCUACAGAAGAGCCCCUAUGGAAGAGACCAGGGAGACUUGACGGAAUCUCUGGAGCAGCGUGCCAUUGAUCUCUACAAAGAGCUAAAGCACAGACCUACUGAUCACUCGUACAGUGACAACACAGAGAUGGUGAAGAUCAUUGUGCACACUGUGCAGAGUCAGGACCAUGUUCUCAAGGAGUUGUUUGAUCACCUGAGCAAGUUGUUGGGCUGCAAGCAGAAGAUUAUUGAUGUGCUCCCCAAGGUGUAAGUGGCUCUCAGUAACAUCAAAGAAGCUGACAAUACUGUCAUGUUUAUGAAGGGAAAAAGGCAGAAGGAAAUUUGGCACCUGCUUAAAAUUGCCUGUACACAGAGUUCUGCCCGUUCUCUUGUAGGAUCCAGUCUAGAAGGCACAGUAACCCCGCCAGUCUCAGCAUGGCUGCCCCCUAGAUUAGCAGACCAUGACCAUCCUCUGACAUGUGUGAGAGACGUUAGCACAAAUGAUAGAAGAAAAUCUGACCUGUCUUGGCCAUUUAAGUACUAUUAUUCAUGAAGCAAGUGAGGACCAGAGCAGUAGUAUGAUGAGUCUUGACUGGAGUUGGUUAGCAGAAAGACUCACCGUUUGCUCACUGCCCUGGAGCCUAGGAAGCUGUCCCAGCACUUACCCCAAAGUUGUCAUUACUUGCUGAAGCCAUUCUUCACAUAACAGUCCAUGGAGGAGAUGGCUGUGAUCAAAAACUACAAAUGACUUUACAAGCACAGAAGCUUGGUGUUUUGUUUGUUUUAAUAAUUGUGAUCUCUGAACAGAUAGGAUUUUAUAACAAAUUAGUGAAAUUAAUUAUUCUUUU